rnacentral:rRNA from 1 species
CUUGCGAAAGUAAGACUAAUACCCAAUGACGUCUCUAGAAGACAUCUGAAAGGGAUUAAAGAUUUAUCGGUGAUGGAUGGGGAUGCGUCUGAUUAGCUUGUUGGCGGGGUAACGGCCCACCAAGGCGACGAUCAGUAGGGGUUCUGAGAGGAAGGUCCCCCACAUUGGAACUGAGACACGGUCCAAACUCCUACGGGAGGCAGCAGUGAGGAAUAUUGGUCAAUGGACGAGAGUCUGAACCAGCCAAGUAGCGUGCAGGAAGACGGCCCUAUGGGUUGUAAACUGCUUUUAUAAGGGAAUAAAGUGAGUCUCGUGAGACUUUUUGCAUGUACCUUAUGAAUAAGGACCGGCUAAUUCCGUGCCAGCAGCCGCGGUAAUACGGAAGGUCCGGGCGUUAUCCGGAUUUAUUGGGUUUAAAGGGAGCGUAGGCCGGAGAUUAAGCGUGUUGUGAAAUGUAGACGCUCAACGUCUGCACUGCAGCGCGAACUGGUUUCCUUGAGUACGCACAAAGUGGGCGGAAUUCGUGGUGUAGCGGUGAAAUGCUUAGAUAUCACGAAGAACUCCGAUUGCGAAGGCAGCUCACUGGAGCGCAACUGACGCUGAAGCUCGAAAGUGCGGGUAUCG